rnacentral:rRNA from 1 species
UACGGAGGGGGCUAGCGUUGUUCGGAAUUACUGGGCGUAAAGCGCGCGUAGGCGGACCUGCAAGUCGGGGGUGAAAGCCCGAGGCUCAACCUCGGAACUGCCUUCGAUACUGCGGGUCUCGAGUCCGGGAGAGGUGAGUGGAAUUCCGUAGUGUAGAGGUGAAAUUCGUAGAUAUCAGGAGGAACACCAAUGGCGAAGGCAGCUCGCUGGGACGGUACUGACGCUGAGACGCGAAAGCGUGGGGAGCGAACAGG